CCGCCUGCUUGGCGCGGGCCUGCGUGCAGUGCUGUGUGCGACUGGGGGCUGUGCGUCGGCCUGCUGUGCCGUGUGGCUGUACGGGGUUGUUCCCUAGCUUUUCUGGCACCACGGCUACUUCCUUGGGAGUGAAUGAAUUCUUUUAUUGUCGAUUUGCUGAGUUGCGUUUAUCGUUAGCCUCUUCCUUUUUUUUUUUUUUUAAUAUAACUUGUCUAGCAUGUCUCCUUUAACAGAAAAGGACAGACCGAUUGUUCAGCUGUUACUGGGCGCUGGCACGUGCCCACGAUGUAUUUUCAGAUUCUGCCGUGUGGGAUCACAGACGCUUUAUAGACAUCCAUACAAGGAGUUGAUGAAGAAUUUGAAGCAAUUCCUGAAAGGUAAUCAAGAAAAAGAAGAUACAGCUUGCUUUGAUGUAGAUGGUCCACCUUGUAAGCGAUUCAGACGUGGACAUGCAGAAGAGGGGCCUGAUGAUCUGAACCAGAAUGGAGUGCUCAGUCAGAUUCCUUUGGUUAAUGAUGAUAAUGCUGCUGUGGAGAACUCAGCUGUAGACGUUUGCAAUGUGUGUUUGGGAAUUCUUCAAGAGUUCUGCGAGAUUGACUUUGUUAAAAAGAUGUGUGAAAAGGUUAAUUCUUCUGACUACCAGUUCACCAGUUUUGUACUUUCUGUGUCACUACCACCACAGCUGUCUGUCAGGGAGCAUGCUGCUUGGCUGCUGGUAAAACAGGAAAUGGGAAAACUGGGCCUUUCCUUGGCAAAGGAUGACAUUGUUCAGCUGAAAGAAGCUUAUAAGUGGAUUAUUCAUCCCCAGUUGUCAGAGGAGUUGAGUGUUCCCACUGAUGGAAAGAGUUUGUUUGAAGUGAGCGUGGUCUUUGGUCACCCAGAAACAGAUGAGGAGUGCUGUUUCCUAGCCACAGUCUGUCCAGAUUGUUUCAAGCCAGCAAAGAACAAACAGGAAACAAUUCAGAUAAGUCACACUCUGAAAAUGAGACUCUGCGGCUGAAGGAGAAUGAUUACGUUACAGUUUUCAUGUCCUGCGAUCUGAAUGAAAGGCACAGUACCUCCAGGAUGAUUUUAUCCUGUCCACUUCUGGAGUGGGGAAGAAAGAAAAGAGACCUUGCCACUUGCUGCAGACCCUGAACACAUUAUGAGAAAAGAGGGUGAUUAAGAAUAAAAAGGAGUUGGAGGUAAACUGAUGUGAUUAGGACAGUAGGCGCGCUCAGAGGGAGAAAAGUAACUUCUGUCAGAAGUCUGUAGGAGACCUUUUGUUCUUUCUCAUGAACAGUCUACCAACAUUUGGUAUGACCCUUGAAUUUUGUCUACUAUACUCCAUUGCACAAAUAAAUACAAUUUUUUUUUUUAGAAGCUUUGUACUGUGAUAACUCACUGCUUGCUGCACUGCUUUCCUUUAAAAGUGGGGAAAUCCCCCAUAAAAAGCUAAACCAGCAGGGCCUGUUGAAACCACACAGGCAACAAGAUGUAACAAAAUGUAAAGGAAGAAAUACAGUCUCUGAAUCAGAGGCUCAUCCUUAAAGAGAAGCUAUGCUUGAAGUUAGUAUCAAGGGCUGUGUUAAUUAGAAGUGGAGUAAAAGCUGGAUUCUGAGUAAAAAUGUCUGAAGCCUAUUGCUAGUUUAAGGGUUUUCCAUCUCAUAUUCCUACGAGGAUGGUGCAUUUAUCUUUAGUUUAUGCUUAGAUAGAGAUGGAAUAGCUUUCCUGAAGGCAUUCUGGAUGUCUGUGUUAGAGCAAAGACUUAAAUACUCCUAGAAAGUAAUCUAGUAUUUUUCAUUGUUUUUCCAAAUCCCUGAGCUAUGUGACUUUUCUGUUGCUUUCCACAUACCAGGGCUCAUCAUCAGACUUAUGAUCUGAAUGGAUAAUUAGACUUGAAGGGUAGUGGUUAAUGGAUGUCAUAUUCUAUCUGGAUGCUUAUGAUGAGUACUGUGAUGAGGAGUCUGUCCUGGGAUCCCUGCUGUUUUGUCAAAAGCCUGGAGGAGUGUGUGGAGACCAUUCUCAAAAAGCAUGCUGAUGACAACGAAUUGUAGGCCAGUAGGUACAUUUGAGGGCAGAGCUGCCAUUCAGAGUGACCUAGGAAGGCUGAAGGAAUGGGUGGAUGAGUACCCAUAUGAAAUUUACUGCAACAAAUACAUAGUAGUUGGACACCUGGGAAGGAAUAAUGUCUAGCAAUAACGUGGUCUGAGGACUGCCAGGUUGGGAAGCAGCUUUUUUGAAGAUGCCCUGGGAGUUGUGGCAGCAGACAGCAAGCUGAGAAAGAGCACUGAUCUCUGGCAGUAGUGGAGGCCAGCAGCAUCCUGGGCUUUACUAAUGGGAAUGUAGCAUGUAGACUGAGGGACAGUAUUAUAUUCCUCAGCUGUAUGGAGAUCACAUCCAGGUUUAGGCCCUCAGUGGAAAAAAGACAUUGUUAAAUUGGGAAUCCAGCAGAGGACCUAGAAAGAUAGUUAGACUUGGAAUAUACGUACCCUGUGAGGAGAGGCUGAGGAACUUGGUCUUGUUCAGCCUGAAGAAGGCAUUUGAGAGGGCACCCUAGUACCUACAGAGAUGUUGAGGGAACUAGGCUUUUCACUGCACUGGUUUUAGAAAGAUGAGAGACAAUGGGCACAAGUUGAAAUGAUAAGAUUCAGAGAAGAUAUAAGAACAAGCCAAAGGAGGAUUUAAAAUCAUAUCCUGCUGAACUGGUAGUAGGUAUAAGAAAACACAGAACAUAAUUGAAAAAACUGUAUUGUGAGAAGUGUGUGGUGUAUAUGUUUUAAGAUUUUUUUUCUUUUUAGGCAUGUCCUAUCUUAGCUUCUCUUCUUGACUUCUUUUUUUAUUUCACUGUGCAGUCUGUUUUCACUAGAAUGGCAGUUAUAAAAGCCCUAGAGAAGAUAAAAGAAGAAGAUUUUCUCAAGCAUUUUCCAUGUCCCCCAAGUCCACCAAAGAACCUUUGUGUUGCUCUGG